rnacentral:rRNA from 1 species
CUUGCCAAAAUUAUAAGAGGUCCAGCCUGCCCGGUGACAAAGUUUAACGGCCGCGGUACCCUAACCGUGCAAAGGUAGCAUAAUCACUUGUUCCUUAAAUAGGGACUAGUAUCAACGGCACCACGAGGGCCAUACUGUCUCCUCUCCUCAAUCAGUGAAACUGAUCUCCCCGUGAAGAAGCGGGGAUUAAACUAUAAGACGAGAAGACCCCAUGGAGCUUUAAGCAACAUCUUCAUCUCUUGUUUUUUUUCAUCAACCUAAUAUAAAAUGAAUUGAAUUCUAGCUUUAGAUUGGGGAGAUCGCGGAGUACAAAUCAACCUCCACGACAAACGGACAGUGUCCUUAUCCAUGAACCACAUUUCUAAGAAUUAGCACACUAAUGUUUUUGACCCAUAUAUAUGAUCAACGAACCAAGUUACCCUGGGGAUAACAGCGCAAUCUACUUUAAGAGUCCAUAUCGACAAGUAGGUUUACGACCUCGAUGUUGGAUCAGGACAUCCCAGUGGUGCAGCCGCUACUAACGGUUCGUUUGUUCAACGAUUAAAGUCCU